UCUGUGACAUUGUGUUUGCAGGUAUACUCUACAAAUAGCUAUUGCAACUGAAGGAAGAUAACCUACUAUGGUUUUCUAGGUGCAUACUGUUACCUUCUGUUAUACUUUAUCUUAUCCUGGACUGCAGCUGGAAAUUUCCAUUUACUCUUUCUAGUUCCUUCUGACAAAGUCAGAUAAGUUAUUUCAAAUACUUUAUUUAACAAUGUGAAGGCUGAUGUUGCUUGAAGAAAGCUAGGAAGAACUUUGUCCAGUUUAGAGCAGAAUUGGUAAAGGAGUGCUGUCAUGGAAAAGCCUUGAUGCUGUUCUGCUAAUGACACUCACAUUUCAUAAAGCAAAUGAAUUUUCUCUUUACCAGCAGGGCACUGACUGUCCAUUGCUACAGCAUGCCAUUUUGCAAAACUGUAGGUGUAGCAAUCUCCAGUGGCAGUGUGAUGACGGAAAACUGGGAACCAUUGCACUGUUGCCUGCCACGGGGUAUAUAUCUGUUCUCCUUCCUGGCUCUGUAAUGCUGUGGAUUGAUAGCACCAGUCAUGCCUGCCAACGCCGGUUGAAGAACCUACAUUCUCUUCCGAAUGCAACUAGACAGUAGAUCUAUGUAGGUUCACUCUCAGAACAAGGAUUCCUCAAAGUCAGUGUGUGUAGCACCCUAACACAGAGUACCAUAACCAAAAGCAGAAGGAACAACUGCAAGGGAGCGGAUUCAUCAGAGGUCGGGGAGGAACGAUUCUUGUAGAUGACUAAUGAUGAUUGCAAUGGAUUGACUUUGUUUUCCUGGAAAUGUGAGCUCUGGUUGAAAAUAUUUAUAUAGCAUUUCUGCUUCUCUCAGUGUCUAUCAUAGAAUGACUUCAUGCUGCAGUCAUUCCUUCAAGGAAUGACUUCAAGGCUCAAACAAAGCCUAUUGGGUAAGUGAAGAAAUAAAGAGGUACUGUAAGAAAAACCCCAAGAGCAUGUCAAAUGUAGGCUAGCCAAAGAAGAUCUAAGGGAGGCUGGAACGUUUCUUGUAUCAAAGAGCUAAUUACUGGUGCAUGGAAAAGGGAAAAGGAUGGUCAUGGCCCAAGGUAAAAGUCAUAAAUCAAUUUAGACUUUGAAUCUGAAAGACGUUUUCAGAAAAGAAAUGUUGCUCUGGGACAGGCUUCUGGGUGGCCAAAAAACCCCUACUGUUAAGUUGAGCUUGGUGACUUUAAGAAAAAGUUUAUAUAAUAUUAUAUAACAAAAAACUGCCCUUGGUGGUCCAAAUACUGUCUUUUGAUAAUAGAUUUUGAAGGCUGUAGAACACAGAGCACUCUUGCAUUCUCUGCUUCUAGUCAAAGCUAUUGCUAAGUAUCAAUAUAUAGCUUAGGAUAUUUUCCUUUUUGUUGAAAAAACCACCUGAAAAUAUUGAAAAAUGAUCACAAUCUCUUUGGAAUUCUGUGAGUGAGAAAAUGUUCUACAGUUUGAUGGAGAAAAUAAAAAAAUCAUAUUAAAGCCUUAUCUGGAGUAGGAGAAUUUCUUACCUAUUUUUGGCAGUUGUUCAACUGUAGAAGUAAUAUUUGUUACACAGAUGAGUGCACAUAAAACUGGAAUACUCCCACUAUUAUACCCUCUAAGUCAGAUAAUAUUCCUGUUUAUGUCUUGGGUUUUAAAACUGAUUUUUUAACAUUCAGGUUAUGUCAUUACUAUGGCAUUGUUUUGCACAAAUAGUGAAUGUAGUCUAACUGGAAACUAGUCUGUAGUUUAAAACAAUGACAGAAUUUGGACUAGUACUAGACAGUUUAACUUCUAGCUAUGCAGGAAGAUUUGUGUUCAUGUUCUAAAAAUCACAUGAGUACAUGCACACACACUCUGGUAUAUGCUCUUAACCUAUCAAAAUAUUAUCAAUUAAGAUUAAGAGUCAGACUUCAAUCUGCAGGUGCAAGGGCACUUUCAAACUAUAGCCUGUCCUUAAAUCACCCUGUUGUUAAUAAGUGACUUUUUCUAAAAUAUACACAUGCCUUCAGAUAAGUCAAAAUAGCGACCAGAGGUCUUGACAAAAAUCCUGUAUAUUUGAAAUAUUUUGCAGGUAUGUGUGUGUCUGUAGCACAGCAUUGUGCAUGUACUUGGAAAGAAGGCACUGCAAUAGCCACACUGAAAGGGAUUACUGGAGUCCGUUUGCCAGAGACUGGACUAGCAAUGUCUAAGCUCACUUGACUGUAUAGCAAAGUCAGUUCAGUUUUGGUUUCUUUUCCCUGUGCUGCAUGCUGUUGUAAUCCAUAUGUGAUGAUUAAAGGUUAGUGAAGUGUUACUUUACUAUUCCUGAGCAUACUGAAGAUUUCUCUUUAAAUGAGAUAACCAUGUCUACAGUGGUUGUUCUUCUGCUCAGAACAGUAUCUCAGCUGUGCACACCUUCUUCUCCUCAUGUUUGUACCUUUCUUGGAUCAACCAGGUGUUGUUGAAUCCUGUUGUAAUGGUUUAAAUUGUUUUCCCCAGAUAUCUAUCUCACCUCUCCGCCAAAGACUGUCCUGUUCAAAAAAAAUGAAUAGAAAAGAGUGUUUGCCUGCUCCAAGACACCAUCCCACCAUUUUGGUAAAACCUAUGGUUGUAGACACUUAAUAUAAGAAGCUUGACUUUUUUGUUUGUUUGUUUGUUUUCUGGAUUUAUUCAGUGACUUUUAUUUAUUUCUUCUUCUAAGUCUUUUCCAAAGUCAGUAAUCUCCCAGAAGGUGAUAGGAUAGUCAGUUUAGAGAGCAAUACUAAAAUAAUUAAAACAAGAUUUAACAUGAUUUUUUCUGUUAAAGACCUUAAUAAAAAAUAUUUUAUGUCUACUCUUUAAUUAUUUUAUUAGUCUUUUAUCUAUGUAAAAUAAACACAUACCAAAGAAUAAGGCUUGACAGUGUAUCAAGCUAUAUGACUGUGUUCUCCACCAGAGUUUUAAUAUGACUUUUGUUGUUAGAAAAAUUAAGAGUGUUGUUAGACAAAUUUUAAAAGAGAAAUGGGAAGGAAGUUUUAAAGGGCUGUAUUGACAAGUCUAGCCACUUCACAUCAGAGUUUUCACUACUGUAUUCUGUAAUCAGUCUCCAAGAUUAAAUAUUGACUGACAGCAGAAAGAAUGAUCUGGAGCUCAGAAUUAUGAACAAGUUCAGUGAGUGAUCUGGAGCUGAGAACUCUGAGCAGAAUUCUGAACAAGUGAAGUAGGAUUUUCUUCUUAAAGAAACUUUCUGAAGUUAAAUGUUUCCCAUUUUAAUCAACAUUUUUCUUGUAAGAUGGCGGCUUAAAGAAAACAAAAUCACCUCUGGAAUAUUCAGAGCUUGAACAUUUUCUUAAUUAGAGUUCUGUAUUUCAGCUACAGCCCUGGAACCUUGUCAGAGUCCCCCUCUGGGAUGUGCAUGAAGUGCAUGUGAUUUACAAUAAUCUCUUAGCAACAAUAUUUCUAUGAAUUGAUAAAUAACUGCAUAUUUUUUUCUGUUUAAAAAUUGUGUCCAUUGAUAGCGCUCUGUAGGAAAUGUCACAGAAAGAAGCAGAACAGUCUUGAAAAAUGUAAUAUGGUUGCAAAUGAGAGCAGAUAAUUUUUUCAGUCUCAGUCUAAAGAGGUGAGCUGUAAUAGGUAUUAAACACUUUGUGAACAGCACACAUUGCAACUCUCAGUUAAUAUUAUUGCUGUGUCAGAAUAGCACAUUUACAGUAGAGUCUAUGGCAAUAUAACACAGGGUCUACCAGGUUCUGUAGUCUGUAGAGUCUACCUUGUGUACAACUCCUGUAGCUAGAACACCAUUAAAUAAAGUGAUGAAAAUAAUACAGCCUCUGAUCGACAUCUUUGGCAGUGUCAAGAAAAGUAACUGGAACAAAAGUUGCUCUUAUCUAAGUCUGAGAAGAGUUAGAUUACUCCUCCUGUGGCCAAUGCUAAUUGCUCAACAGAUUGGAAACCUCAAAAAUUCUAGAAGAAUGUAAGUUGAGAAUGGGUGAUUUCAGAGACAGCUGAGCAUCAGUUACAAGCUGAGAGACCCUCUUGCCCAAAUCCAUCCCUGAUACAUAAAUGUUGUCAGCAAGAUGAGCUGCUUCCUCUGCCAGAGAUACUGUUUGUUCAUCACUGAGACCUUCUGAAAGGUGCAAACAGCAGUUUUGAACUUUUGGGAAACUCAUAGCUAUUAUUUUAAAGUUAUUGGCAAAUACUUGUCAAAAUCAUCCCAAGUCUUAAUGCUGCUAAACAUAGGAAUUUAAUGUUUUGGUUUUAACAGUGGAAAAAAGGAGGAGAUUAAUCCUAGGAGACUAAGGUAUAUAGAAAAUCACACACCAAGUGACCUUAAAAAUGCAGUUGUCUUGGAACCCCAUGGGGCCACCUUAUGGGUCUUCACUUCUAAUAGCAGAAUGAGUCAAUACAUGGUGUGAAGAAAGGGCCUUUCCAGUUUUCAGCUGUCACCUUUGCCAAAUGAGACAUAAUUCACUCCCUAAUCUGAAAGCAAGAAAUAGAGACAAAAGAUAAGGAGCGAGUGGAUUCCUUGAGAUCAACAGUUUGAAUCCAAUGACAGAGACUAAAUAGGGAAUCUGGAUCUCUUGACCUCCAGACAGUUAUUCUGUGCAUGAUGCUGCCUGGCCUCACCCUUUGUCCCGUUUGUUUUCGAACACCACUCUUUCAUCCUUGCCAUGUAACAGGUUGUAAGAGAUACUUGCUUUUAUAUCACUGGGGGGGAAAACAUGAAGGAGUAGUACUGAGUCAGUCGGCCUGUUUAUAAAAUGUCAGAGCACAACACCUGGAGAGGUAAUAUGCAUUGCAGGUGCACUAUUUAAGAAACAUUAAACAAUGACCUACCAGAUAUUUGAGACCUCCAGGGUAAUAAUCUACCACUUGUGAAAAUUCUUCUGCAUCCUAAAUCCAUUUUAAAUAGACAAACUAUCCAUGUGUCCCCAAGCUUGUUGAUAGUACUCUUGGAUAUACUGACAAUAAUUGCUGAAGUCUGCUCAGAGCAGCAGCAGUAUUUUACAGCUUUCGAAUUGUUUCCUGAGCAUGAAACAUGGAUUGUGGGUAGAUUUUUUGGUUUUCCCUCAUUUUUCCCAUUCUGUAGCAGAAAUUGAGGGGUUUUCUCUUUGGAUAUUUAUUGCUUCAUAUUUCAGUCAAUUUGACUACCUUAGAACAAUACUUUACCGUACAUAAUCACAGGGCUGUUGGUUACCCACACAGGGAUCCAGAGGCACCAGGAAGAUAUGGAAACUGUCAUAUUCAGCCUGUGAUAACAAUCUCAAGCCUUGUGAUAACAAUCUCAAGCCUUGUGAUUCCCAGAGCCUGGCUUAUUAUCAUGAUGAAUCUCUUGCAGUACAAACCUUUCCACUAAUGGCAUGCAAGCUGAGACAGUAAGACAGAAUUCCUCUCAGAAUUAUCCAAAAUCUCCAGUACAGUCUAAACAAGGUACUUUUCAAUAUUCAGAUAACACACAGUGUGCAGAAGUGGAAAGCAUGACUCAUUCCACUGUUUAUCCUUAGUGUGAAAGAUUCAUGGAAUGACCACAGUAUCAUGGUUCUUGUGUGAUGUAUAUACUUCCCAUAUGCUGUCCUGAGCUAGGUAAAAACUUGAUACCUGAAAUAUUCUACUUGAUAUUGAAAUCAUGGUAUCCUUCUAUGGAAGUACUUAUGGAAGUGUGAGUAUCAGAGGACUGUGAAGAUGCUUUACAUAUGAUGCCAUUACACUCAGGGUUUGUGGGACAAAGAAGGGCUUUUAACUUGGCUUCGUAAGGCUCAGGACAUGAUGGCUCUAGGAAGAUGGCAUAUGGUUCAAAGAUUAUUUCCAUAGCUUUUGCAGAAAACUAUAUAUAUCUCUGUAGGACUUCAGUCUAAUUAAUACUGUCUUUUUUAAAUGUGUUGUUACUGAAAACUUGUAACAAAUUAACUGUUAGUUUCCAAAUUCCAGCUGAGCAUAAGGACUUCCCUGAUACUGUUAAGUUGAUGGCACUUUUGCUGAAUGUGGAAUCCAUGUUUGAUUAUCCUCUGCUGAGGAUGAAGAGUAACUCCACCAAUAACCACUACUUUACACACUUCAGGAAUGCCAAAGAACUUUGGCUAUUUUGGUCACUCUUUCCUCAGAGGAGUGUGCUCACUGAAAGGCAGAUUUAUCAUACAUAAGAGCAGAAGUGUAUUGGAAAUGGAAAGAGGAAAUUUAUAGUACUGACUGCAUAAGAACAAUCACUGUUUUGAGCAGUACUUUGUCAGAAAACUCUUUUGAAGAAGACUUGUGGAAAUGGUAGAGAAAACAUUUCAAAGUGUUAUUAAUUUUUUCUCUGUUCUGUGUUAUCUGGUGCAUCUAACAAACCAUUCACAUGACCCCUGGCUGGUGCACAUGGAUUCUCAGUGGACAGCUCCCAUGGAGACGGCAGAUGCCACCUACCUUGCUUGCGCCUUGUAUGAUUUGUUAUGAUGUUUGUCUUUGUGGUUUGGUGCCUUAAUUCUUAAAAACGGAGACAGAAAACUUGUGGUUCCCAGAAAUACAGUUUGUACUGAGGUCUUUACCAAGCCAGACAGAAUAAUCAGAUGAAGAUGGAAGGAGAGAAAUAUGCAGAGAGAUCAUUAAAUGUGCAAACAGCAUCACCAAGAAAUGUGCUACACAACUGAAAUUAAUUACAGCUUGUAUUGAUUUUAAUGGCAGAAGAACAUAUUUAUUAAUGAACAGAAGGAGAACACUGUCCUGCAAUACAUUGCUCAGAUCUUACUGUGAAGUGCAAGGUAAGAAAAUUCUGGAGUCAUUUUGGUGUUUGUUUACAUUCAGACUGAGAAACUCAAACUGUGACCUGCAAGACAGAGAUGUUUCACUGUGUCAGUAAAAGACCACAGUGACUUUUACUUCUAGGCUGUAAGAGAAGUGUUCAAGGUGAUAUCACUGCAGAGUUUUUCAACUCUGAUAUAAUUGGUUGGGUUUUUUCAGAAAAAGAGCUCCUGUGUGACCAGAAUCUUAUCAUAGCUACACUUGACAAGUAAGCCAUGUUUCAGAUGUGUCUCCUCAGAAAAAAAAGAAUAUUUCCUGAAUGUCAUAUUUUUUAGCCCCCAAAUCUCAUCCUUGGCAGAAGUAGGAUUUAUACCAUGAUUUCCUCCAUGCUCCCAAGAGAAGCUCUGCUUUUUAGACACUGAGUCAAACAAGUUCUGAGAAUAAGUGAUCCAUCUUGCUUAAUGAGCUCACAUGGCUGUUUCCAAUGUACCCUUAUGUGGAAAGAAGGUUUGAUUUCCUUGAACUGUCAUAGCUGCAUCUUCUUGAGCAUUAUAUUAACUUAAAGAAGAUGACAGGACACAUUAUGAGAUUGUUUAUAUAUUCUGACAUUGACAGAGCAAAUAAUUAGUAAAACCAUCUGAAAUCUGGAACUGUACCUUUUGGAGCAAAUGGGAAAGCUUCAUUUCAGUUACUUGUGAUGUUAUAGAGUUUUGGUUUUACCAAGCAAACGUCUGUCACAAAAUGGUUGGCAGGUCAUCUGGUCCAAGCCCCCUGCUGAAGUAGGGUCACCUAGAGUCAGUUGCCCAGGUCUGUGUCAGACAGCUUCUGAAUAUCUGCAGGGAUGGCGGUUCCACAAUCUCUCUGGGCAACUUGUGAGUGAGUAACUGAGCAACAGUAGUGAGUAACAUGUACCAAGUAUUAAACUAAUUACUACCUCCUUAUUUAUGAACAAAUGAGGUCAGGAGAACAUAACAGGAUGCUGUCAGACAAGCCAAAGGACCAGACAUUGUGCAAAAAACACUAACAAACCAAGUGGCCAUGUCUCUUUUGUACAUUGGUAUUAUUUAGAUUUUUAGCCCCUGUGACACUUUGGUAUUUAUGACUUCUUUCUUCCUGAUUUAGUGGUAGUUUACUAUUGUCCACAGUUUUCUUCUCUCUGCUGCUUUCUCUCAGGCAUGGAUUUUGAAAGAUGUCUCUUAAUGUUCUGAAAGAGUCUACCUUUUCUUUGUGAUUAUCAUUCACAUACUUGGUGAGUGUAAAGGUAAUUUUAGAUGUGCGGUUUGCUCUGUUAAGAGAAUGGAGCCAUUGAGUCAGUGUUUGCUACCAACUGUAAAAUAAACUGGAUUGCAUGUUUUGUCCUCUUUGGUUUUUCAGUAAAGGAUACAAUUGAUGUUUUGUUUAAGGUGGCAUAAAACCC